AGUCCCUACGGGGCGCAGCAGUGGGGAAUAUUGGGCAAUGGGCGCAAGCCUGACCCAGCAACGCCGCGUGAAGGAAGAAGGCUUUCGGGUUGUAAACUUCUUUUCUGAGGGACGAAGGAAGUGACGGUACCUCAGGAAUAAGCCACGGCUAACUACGUGCCAGCAGCCGCGGUAAUACGUAGGUGGCAAGCGUUAUCCGGAUUUAUUGGGUGUAAAGGGCGUGUAGGCGGGAAUGCAAGUCAGAUGUGAAAACUAU
rnacentral:rRNA from 1 species